CCCAGCUCAGGCAUUCCAGAUGACAGCCUGGAACUCGACGGUUUGCUCAGCUGGAUCGUUGGUGAGUUCAGGGGCCGCAGCGGUGGCGGAUGGAUGUCCGCGCCGAGUGGCUGUGGGAAGGCUGCCGUCCUGGUUUUGGGGGAUGUUCUUUGUUUUGCAGAAGCGUCGAGUCCUCGGGAGGUCCCCCAGCAGGCGUUCCCAGCCGUCCCCAGCAGGCUCAGCACCUCUCCUUUCACCAGAGCCCUCCGUGACCGUCCCAGCGGCAGCAGGGAGCUCAGCGGAGAGGCGCAGGCUGACGCCGGGCCCCUCAGCGAGCCGUUCUCGGGGCAGCCAGCAUCCUCUGGGCAGCUCUCUGAGCCGCUGCCCCGCGGGCAUCUGAUGGAAGAGGCGCGGCAGAGGCAGCCCCGGGUGGUUCUCACCCGCCUGGCACUGCCGACCCCCCUGGCUGCCCCCGCACCUCUGUUGCCCCACAGUGCACAUCUGACCAAAGAGGUGCAGCGGAGGCAGCCCCGGGUGCUUCUCACCCGCCUGGCACUGCCACCCGGCUGCAUCUCCUGCCAUGUGCCCCACAACCACCGCGGGGACGUCUGCGAGCCGGCCGAGUGCCCAACGCCCGCCUGCACCACCAGGAAAGGCAAGAGCAGAGGGCACGAGCAGCGCACUGGCCGCAUCCCAAGCAGAAAGAGGAAGGUGCCGCUGGGCCAGGACGCUCCAGGACAGAAACGCCGGCGCUAGGCGAAGCUGGGUGGGCUCAGCCCGAGCAGGAGCGUCCGCAGAAACCGGCCCACGUGGUGCAGCAGGAGACACGGCCAUAGCCAACAAAGACGGCUCCCUGCAGCCCUGGGCUCCUCGCCGGCCCCCGCGGCGCACAGAGAGCAGCGGCAGUGCUCCAGGGGCACCAGCACCGGCCCCAGCCCUACCCCUCCAAACCUGGGCUGUCCACCA
rnacentral:lncRNA from 1 species